UCGGGAAUUUUGGGCAAUGGGCGAAAGCCUGACCCAGCAGCGCCGCGUGAGGGAUGAAGUAUUUCGGUAUGUAAACCUCGAAAGAAUGGGAAGAAUAAAUGACGGUACCAUUUAUAAGCUCCGGCUAACUACGUGCCAGCAGCCGCGGUAAUACGUAGGGAGCAAGCGCUGUUCGGAUUUACUGGGCGUAAAGGGCGCGUAGGCGGCGCGGUAAGUCACUUGUGAAAUCUCUGAGCUUAACUCAGAACGGCCAAGUGAUACUGCUGUGCUAGAGUGCGGAAGGGGCAACCGGAAUUCUUGGUGUAGCGGUGAAAUGCGUAGAUAUCAAGAGGAACACCUGAGGCGAAGGCGGGUUGCUGGGCCGACACUGACGCUGAUGCGCGAAAGCCAGGGGAGCAAACG
rnacentral:rRNA from 1 species